GCACCCGUAGCUCAGUCGGUAGAGCAAAUGACUCUUAAUCAUUGGGUCCACGGUUCGAAUCCGUGCGGGUGUA
rnacentral:tRNA from 1 species